AACGACGUCCGUAGCCAUGCACAAGCUCGUUAUCCUCUUCGCCUGCGUCUGCGCUGUCGCCGCACAGCGGGGCUUCGCGCCGGUGGAGAACUACCCUCCGAUCCCGU